AAGAAAAGAAAAAAACUUUCUCCUCCCAGGGUUUUGAAAACCAUGCAAGAAGCCACCACCAUUUACAUUAACCGAUUUUUCUUUCUUAAAGGCUUCACUCCUGAGUUAGCUCGAUUUAAAGGAUUUUCUUUAACUUGUUGUGUAUCUCUUAUGUAUCUCUUCUGCACAGGGCCAAUAAUAAGAAGUGGACAAUACAGUAUUUGCUUCAUUGUGUGGGGGAAAAUACCUUUGUUAAAUGUAUGGAUGCAGACGCCUUGAUGAAGAUCUUAAUUUUGUUUGGUUUAAAAAAAAAAAAAAUAGUGUUUUUGAAAAUGUACAAAAUAUCUAUCACUACUGAUAGGAGGUAAUAUUUCUGUGUAGAAAUGAAAAAUGGUUUGUUUUUAGUAUUAGUGUAGAUGUACACAUUCCAGCAAAUGUAUUUGCAAUUAUGUGGUCAAUGCUUUGUGAUAUAAAUGUACUUUUUCAAUGUAUUCUUUAUCACUUUUAAAAUGCCUGUUUUGUGCUUUACAAUAAAUGAUAUGAAACCUCCUGUGUCGGUAAGUUGGAUAUGUGGGUAUUUAAAGAAUUAUAGGAUUGAUUUACAACGCUGAAUCAAGGUACCUGUAUACACAAAUGAGAUUUUUUUUCCCCUUGGAACUUUGUUGAGUUUAAACAGUUGUCAUUAGCAUGUUUUUCCCCUCUUGCAGAAUAGUUGUAGAUGGAGGAUCUCUUUCAUUCAUUGUAUUUUGCUGCCUAGCAACAGUAAUCUUGGUAUCUUAAUUUUCUUUCUAUUUGAUUAAAACUGCAUGUGUUUAAGGUGAUCUUUUGGCAUACUUCCAUUGCAUUAACAGUGAAAUUUCCUUUUACAUGUGACCACUGUUUCAGACCUGUGCAGCUGUUACAACAGAUGACUUUUGUUUUUAAUUGAAUACUUCAAACCUGUUCUUGCGUAACUACUUUAAGGAUUUUUUCAGGCUAGUUAUAAAAGUUAUUUUAAGUCUAAUGUGCUUAAGCCUUCAGUUAAAAGUAGUCCACUUCAAAAUUCAGUGUAGAAAAGUCAAUGUGUUAUGCAUAGUAGUUACAGAAAUUGCAUCUGUCCUUGAAACGCUGUUUUGUUUGAGUGAUGGGGAGUGGUUGAGAACUUCCUGCAGAGCAGAUAACUUCUAUUUUCGUAAAUACUCAAGUACUUGAAUCGAUUGAUUUUUAUUUUUUUUAAUAUACUUGAAAUUUCUUAUUGCUCUAAUGCUCAUACUAAAAAUCUGAUUCUCUUGAAAUCCUGUUUGCUCUUUGCAUAUUUAUUGGCUCUUUGCAUAUAUUAGAGAACAUGCAAUACAGUCUGUCUUGCCAUUGUCUGUUGAAGUGCAGGUUUGAUCCAGCCAGUAUAGAACUAGCUCUGUAGGGGUGAGGAGGACUGUGCUGUGUAUCAUCCUUGAUUGUUCCUUCAAGGAGCAUUGCACUUGCCUUCCCAGACCUUCCACCUUAGGUUCUGCUGCAAAAAAGCAACAGGUAAGCACAACCUAAGGAAGUAUAUAAAUUUAAAUAUUUCAGUACAUUAAUGUUGUCCCUGUGAGAUCUUUGUGGUUGUGUAUUGAAAAGCAAUCUUCUGCUUACCCAAAUGCAUUGUUACUCACGGUUCCAUUUCAGUGGAAAGUCUUUUUAAGUUUUUAAACAACUGUUUAUAUUUCUAGGUAAAUAUGUAUCUUUUUUUUCUUUUUUCUUUUCUUUUUUUUUUUUAAGAAAAAUGAGUGAACUGCAGUAAUUGAAGUCAAGCAGAAUAAGUAGUCAUUUUUGUUCUUUUACCUCGAAUAGCUACUUGUUGCAAUUAAAGAAUCAAAACCUUUACAAUAUGCAGGAAUUACUUGUGAUAGAAAUGUCAACAGCCUUCACAAAUGUUUUUUAUAGUAGGGCACUGUUCUCACUCAACUCAUAAGACGUAAAUACAGUAACUUCUUGUUGCCGCUGAACUUGAUGACUUGUCUUUCAGUUGCAGUGUGUUAGUGGCAUUUUUAGAUAACUUAGUUUGCUAAUUCAUACUUGACAUAGUAGGAAAAUAGAAUCUGGAGUUUCACAGAUUAGUAUGUUUUACUUGGAAAAGCAUGUGCACCAAUUAAAAAUGUUAACAAUACAGCAAAAAAUAUUUUAUCGAUAUGUCAGUCAGUGUAUCUUGUUUCUUGAUACUUUAACUGAAUUGCUGUAUAUUUUGAUAGUUUAAAAUGUUUGUAUGUCUUAUAGAUGGUCUGGUACAGGUUUUUCUUUUUUUUUUUAGUCUUAAAGUAAAGCAGCAUCUGUUUGUUUUUUUGUUGUUGAUAUUCUGUUUCUGAAAUGUGCUGCUCCUCUUUCGAAAGUCCUGCUUAUCUGUACAUUCAAGAAAAAUAUUCAAAAAUACUGCCUUCAUUUUCACACACAGUGCUGAAGAUGCUGCAAGCACCAAAUCAUAGCUCAUAGAAUCAGGUCCUGAGAUAGUUACUACCAGUAAAGAGGAAUCCUUUGAGUGUAUGCCAUUGGUGAGCCGAUGAGCAUGGACCGUAGAAGGGCUCCAUGUAGAAGGUAAAAUUGGCAAAAGCAUAACAGAUUUGAAAUGUAUCCCAUGGUGUAGGGUAUAAUUUUUGUUUUGAUCACUUUUCAUUCUUUAAAGUAUUAUUUGUUUGACCAUAAAUGUUCCAUGAUCUGUUUUUUUUUUUUUUAACUGUGAUUUAAUAAUAUUAAACAAGCAAUUUUAAUUUAUAUUCUUCUAUAUGGUCAAGCUUAGAUAUCUUGGCUUUUUGAACUGAAUCAAUAGUUGUUGUUUAGUUUCUCAAGCUACUUAAUAUUUGAUUAUCUGUAGUGUAAUAUGUAAUUUGACUUCAUUUUUGACACAAGAAAAAGUUAGGUGUGUACCAUUUGGAUUCUGAUACUGUGAAUUUAGUGUUGGGGUGAGUCAUUUCUUCACUUCAUUUUACGUGGUACUUUUUUGCUUAUAACUGUCAUUCUUAAAAUAUUAUUAACAAUAUUUCAAUUGGUAAGUUUAGCCAGUGGGAGGAAAUAAGGAAGAAACCCAGUUUAUUGGAAUAUUGCUAGGGUGUAGAAGAUGAGUUUCUUACCUCAGCAUAUAGCACUUGAGGUGUAUUGACUGUCACUGCAGAGCUUACAGGCAUGCUGUUUUAUACUAAAUGUAGUGGUUAUUUUUCAACUCUCCAAAUUCAUAGUUCUUAGGAGAAUUUAAAAAAAAAAAAAGGAAAAACAAAACAAAACAACAUUAUUGGAGUUACUCUGAUGGCAGAAGAUAACUAGACUUUCUUACAAAUGUAAUGAAUUUGUCCAUAAGCUCUAUUUAUAUUCUUGCUUUUCUUCUUUUUCCUUCCCUUUGGAGUCUUAACAAAUUAGGUAGAGUUUAAAGAAUAUGAAAAGUGCUGUAAGGGAAGCAUGUUUGAAGUAGAGGAAAGAUUUUCAUAUACUUUCUGCAGCCUAGACCUUAGUAGGACAUGAAGUAAAAUGUCAGGUGGAUAAUCUUCAGUCUAGCAUGAUCACAGGUCAUCUGUUUUGUUCAAGUUGAGCAGUCAGAAAGGAUCGUUACUCACUUGCACAGCCUAUCUUAACAUGCUUCAUCGUUUUACCAGUAGUAUUUUAUUGUAUCAGAUCACAGAAAAUGUUUCUCCCCUGUUCUCUUCCAAAGUAAUUUUAAGUUUUCCAUUGCAUGCUAAGGGCUCCUGUUUUACUUUUGUCUGGAAGUGGGGGGAGGAAGGGAGGACCGGGCCUUUCAGAAAGCCUGCAGUUGACAGGAUUCCUUCUUCCCUAGUAAUAGCUUAUAAAACUCGUAUGUAUGCACAAAUAUUUCUCUUGCGUGCAUGUGAAAUGCAUUUUCGUCCUGAGAAAAGUGUUCUCUGCAGAAACUACCCGUGUGUAAAAAGAAGAUUGGCUUUAAAAGGCAACUGUGAUGGGAACAGUGUCUUAGGGAGAUGCAGCUUGGACUUGAGGUAAAUUGAAUGCUUUCCAAAAAUGUGGUUUUGAGCUUGCAUUGACAUUGUAUGUAAUAUGGGUACACGUUAACUGUAUAAUGUUUUUUGUAUGGUUUUUCUCAAUAAAUGUAAACUGAUGGAUAAUAAUA